GUUAGGAUCAGCGCGUUUGCCUCGGGUAGCUCAGCGGUUUGGGGCUGGAGCUGGGCCAGGGUUUGGAUCUCCGCAGGCCUCUUUCCAAAUGAGGGAGGUAACAGGGAGGGUGCGGUGUCCAACAGGCUGUGGGCAGUCCCAUCUCCCAGCCCCCUGGGUGGCAGGCAGAACAGGCCUCUCCUGUUUGCAGCUCUCUGGAUGGUCUCAGCUUCCUCCCUGAGCCUUCCUUCUACUCGCAAAGACACCGGCUGGCCUCCCUCAGCCCCUGGCAUGUCCGCUUUGCAAGGCAACAGCAAGAAGACACUCGUGUCACUGAACAUCCUGCAAGCCAUCAUUGAUGGAGUCUCCCUGUCAGCGGAGAGGAAAGGGGAGACUCCCAGCACAAGGGUAGAAGCCCUCUCUCCUGAGGACUCAGUCUCCUCUACCCCAGGACCCAGUCACAUGACCCGCUCCGUGACUUUCACAAUCACCAAUGAAGUCUUCUCAGCUGCACUCUUGAACCCUGACUCCUGGAAGCACCAGCUGCUGCAUAAGAUCAUCCACCACCAGGUAAGUGCCCCUCCUCCGGUGUGCAGGUGGCCAGUGAGGCAAAGUGAGGCAGAGUUCCUGCAGCCAAAACCAAAUCUGCCUCCGCCUUGGUUCUGGAACCAUGGAUGCCCUAGCCGGCAAGUGCCAUUUCUUGCCUGGCAUCCAGGGGGAACUCUGAGUCUCUGUCCAUUAGUUUAUUGGUUCAAUCCUUCAUUUAUUCAACUAACUCACUUCUUCCUACCACUAACUGAGCACCUACUGUACCAGGUAUGGUGCUAAGUGCUGGGAACACCACAGUAAGCAAAAGCAAGCAUGCCCCCUGCCCUCAGGGAGCCUGCAGUCUGGAGGAGAGGACAGCCCUACAAGGCGUGAUCAAACAUAUCCAGAUGUCGUCGUAGUUGUGAUAAGCUAUAGAAAGGAGAAGUGCAGACAGGAUAGGCAGUGAGAGGGAGCUGCUGGGGAGAGGUGGCUGCCCAGACAACACCUUUCUGAGAACUGGGAAUUUUGACCGGGACAAGAAGGUGGCCAGAUGAAACACAGAGGGGCUUUCUAGGCAGAGAACGGCACCUGUGAUGACCUUGAAGUGAAGAGGUGGUCGGAGGCAGCAGAAGCAGAGGGACGCCAGCGAGAGGGGCUGUGAGGAGAAUAAUUUGAAACAGGGGUGGGAGAGGGAGGAGGGGAGGCCUGUUAGGAGCACGGUAGUCGUCCAAGCCAGAGAGGUCUGGAUGGCAGGCCAAC
rnacentral:lncRNA from 1 species